AUUGAACGCUAGCGGCAGGCUUAACACAUGCAAGUCGAGGGGUAGAGUUCUUCGGGACUUGAGACCGGCGCACGGGUGCGUAACGCGUAUGCAAUCUACCUUAUACAGGGGAAUAGCCCAGAGAAAUUUGGAUUAAUGCCCCAUAGUGUUAUCGAAUCGCAUGGUUUGAUAACUAAAGUUCCAACGGUAUAAGAUGAGCAUGCGUCCAUUAGUUAGUUGGUAAGGUAACGGCUUACCAAGACAAUGAUGGGUAGGGGUCCUGAGAGGGAGAUCCCCCACACUGGUACUGAGACACGGACCAGACCUCCUACGGGAGGCAGCAGUGAGGAAUAUUGGUCAAUGGGCG
rnacentral:rRNA from 1 species